UAGGACGAACGCUGGCGGCGUGCCUAACACAUGCAAGUCGAGCGAGGAGAUUCCUUCGGGAUGAUCCUAGCGGCGACGGGUGAGUAACACGUGGGCAACCUGCCUCAUAGAGAGGAAUAGCCUUCCGAAAGGGAGAUUAAUACCUCAUAACAUUGCAGUUUCGCAUGGAACAGCAAUUAAAGGAGUAAUCCGCUAUGAGAUGGGCCCGCGGCGCAUUAGCUAGUUGGUGAGGUAACGGCUCACCAAGGCGACGAUGCGUAGCCGACCUGAGAGGGUGAUCGGCCACAUUGGGACUGAGACACGGCCCAGACUCCUACGGGAGGCAGCAGUGGGGAAUACUGCACAAUGGGGGAAACCCUGAUGCCAGCAACGCCGCGUGAGUGAUGACGGCCUUCGGGUUGUAAAGCUCUGUCUUCAGGGACGAUAAUGACGGUACCUGAGGAGGAAGCCACGGCUAACUACGUGCCAGCCGCCGC
rnacentral:rRNA from 1 species